AACGGACGAGAAGCUUGCUUCUCUGAUGUUAGCGGCGGACGGGUGAGUAACACGUGGAUAACCUACCUAUAAGACUGGGAUAACUUCGGGAAACCGGAGCUAAUACCGGAUAAUAUUUUGAACCGCGUGGUUCAAAAGUGAAAGACGGUCUUGCUGUCACUUAUAGAUGGAUCCGCGCUGCAUUAGCUAGUUGGUAAGGUAACGGCUUACCAAGGCAACGAUGCAUAGCCGACCUGAGAGGGUGAUCGGCCACACUGGAACUGAGACACGGUCCAGACUCCUACGGGAGGCAGCAGUAGGGAAUCUUCCGCAAUGGGCGAAAGCCUGACGGGGCAACGCCGCGUGAGUGAUGAAGGUCUUCGGAUCGUAAAACUCUGUUAUUAGGGAAGAACAUAUGUGUAAGUAACUGUGCACAUCUUGACGGUACCUAAUCAGAAAGCCACGGCUAACUACGUGCCAGCAGCCGCGGUAAUACGUAGGUGGCAAGCGUUAUCCGGAAUUAUUGGGCGUAAAGCGCGCGUAGGCGGUUUUUUAAGUCUGAUGUGAAAGCCCACGGCUCAACCGUGGAGGGUCAUUGGAAACUGGAAAACUUGAGUGCAGAAGAGGAAAGUGGAAUUCCAUGUGUAGCGGUGAAAUGCGCAGAGAUAUGGAGGAACACCAGUGGCGAAGGCGACUUUCUGGUCUGUAACUGAC
rnacentral:rRNA from 1 species